rnacentral:lncRNA from 1 species
GGGAGGUAUGAUAGUGAGAAGGGGCUGAGACAGUUUCAGAGCGAGCCAGAGGCAGAGAGGAGAGGAGGAGGAGGAGGAGGAGGCAGCAGCAGCAGCAGCGAAGGAGCAGCUCUCCUCUUGAGUCUCCAUCCCAGAGAAGAAGACGGGGAGGAAGAAGACGGGGCGAAGUCGACGGUCCUGCCCGCCCGCCUGGUGCAUCCUGAAGUUCAAUCCAAGAGGUCUGCUGUGAGGUAUGUUAAGUCUCUGUGUCUCCUUUGUGCCUCUCCUCUUUUCAUCCCUCUCAUCCUUUUAAUCAGGACUGUGAACCAGCAGCAGUCAGACGCCGGGGGUGUGAAAGUGUGUGUGCAAAGAUCCUGCCAAGUAUGAGGCUUUUUCAGCAGCAGGUUGCUCCCUCUCUCUCCCUCUCUCUCCCUCUCUCACUCUCGAUGUGUGUGCGCGCACGCUUGGAUGUGUGUACGAGUAGAUGGAGCAAAAUAGGGUCUUAUUUAUCAAAAUGUCAGCGCAGAUUUUGCUGAGAUGGGGCUUCUUUGACAUUUGAAGACUGAUAACAUUUCCGGCAAUCAGAUUCAUCGCCAGCAAAGUGUGACCUGAUGCUUAAAAGCAUACUGGGGGGAAAAAAGGGCAAAAACUUGGUGUUUUUGUUCUUUUCCCUCUGAUCUUUUACUCACAUUUUACAGAAUUCAGCAACCAGACCUUUAAAGACAUUUGUAUGUAUGCUCAGUUUACAGCAUUUUCUACUCCCAUGUUAAGUUUGACUUUUGUAAACACUCAUUUAUAGUUUCCAGAAAUGAAUCAUUUUUGAUGGUUUCCUACUCAGUUUACUUUAUAAAUAUGCUCUUCUGACCGUAUUACAGUAGUAGUAAAUGUGCUCCAUCUCUCACGAGGUGUUAGACCUUUCAGACACUUCUAGGAAAUGAUGAAUAAAUGCACUUUAUAAUGCAGCUGCACACACAAAUACAUCUGAAUGUGCCAAAAAAAAGAAGUGAAAAGCCUUUUUUAUGAACUCACCGGGCUCUGUGGCGAACAGACUGUUCCUCUGAUCAAAGUCCCCCCUGAGUAUCUGUCAACCACUCUCUUCAUUAGUGCCAUUAAGGACACUUUAAUGUUAUCAGGCUCAUCGGUGAUAUCGAUCUGCUAACCUGCUCCCAGGGGGGCAAUAGCCUAGACAAGCCAACCUAUAGUCUUAAUCCGUGGCUGUGCUCUUUACAUGCAGCAGGUAGUGUUUCAGAGCAGAGUGGAGAAUUAUUGAGUGGACUAGCGCAGGGACGGUCUUUGUGCAGAUGUCAUGAUGUCAUAGCGAGCGGCUGCGUGGUCGAAUAUGUCUUCAAAUUAGGAAAGAGGUGGACCAACCUAUUGUGAUGAUGAACUUAGAAUAAGACUGAGGAGUAGAGGUGAUUUGUGAAUUUACUGUGCUGACUGAAGUUGGCUUGUGGUACAGAGUAAAAAAAUGUAACUCUGUGGGCUUUAUAUGAAGAAUUUUACAGAAAAAUGUAAAUGUUAAGUGCAGCUGUAAUUUUUCAGGGUCGUUGUUGUAGAGCAGCAGUUGUGCUGUGGCGGGGUUACACGAUUUCAUCUCAUUUGGAUGCUUUUACCCAUUUUUCUGCACAGACUGUUGUUAGUUAGUUUUCUAUAAGAUUAUCAGACAUAAAAUGCUGAGAUUAGAGAAAUAAAUUUACAAGCAAGUCAUCGAUCAAAAUGUUCAUGAUUUCAGUUUGUAUUUCUGUUUCUGCUGCUGUUUUGUUCCAGCACAGUUCUCAGUGGUUUAUUAUAUCUGUCUUAUUAAAAAAGGAGCCUGAACAAAUGAUCUUUAUAAACUCAAAGCUUAAACAGUCUUUAUAUCCUUAUUUCUUUAGCUGGUAUGAUUUGCAUGAUACCUGUUGAUGAGCUGAGGCUUUAAAAGACGAUCCAUCCUCACAUCUUGAUCCAGAUGACGUAUGAUAGAAAUAUCUCGCAUGUCAUUUGACAGAUUUGUCUCAUUAUCAUGCGAAUUAUUCAUCUUUUGAUUGAGGAUUAUCACAUUGAGCCUUUUACAUUUUAAUUUGUAUUUCUGGGGCUGUGACUAAUCUUCAUUUUCAUCAUUCAUUUAACAGGCUGAUUAUUUUUCAGAUGAAUUGAUGAAUUUUUCAGUCUCUUAAAUAUGAUGUCAUGGUAAAGAAAGUCUAUUUUAGGGAUUGCAGAGCCUCAAAGAAAUUCAGCCCCCUUUAGGGAAAUCCUCAAAAUACAAGUAUUGAUGGUCUGAGGCUGGAAAACCACAAUUUUUUCAUUUUUAUUUUCCUGAUCCUGUAAAGUAACACAUAAUAAUGUUUAAAAUAAGCUGUACUCACAUUUUUAAGUAUCUCAUAAGUGAUAGACUAUCAAAUUGUUGUUGCUUUUCUUUGUUGUUGAAAAACUGAUGAAGUCACAUCGUGUUACAGCUCUGCUUCCUGCAUCACCUACUAUCAAGCUGUGAUAAUCCGGGUUCAGUUGCAGUUGUAGCAGAGUUGGGGUCAGACUGUACUCCCAGUAUUCCUACAGUAGAUGCAUGUAUUCAUGUGCCUGUGGGCAGCAUCUGUGUUUGUGUGGACCAGCGUGUGCAUGGCAAGGAAAGUAUAUGGAGAUCAAUGCAAGCAGCUGUUCCCUCUGCACUUCAAACACCGCUCUGUUGUUGGUGCAUCAACGCUCCGACAGGCCUCGCGCAAGGGGAUCAAAGGCUAAUGAGACAGCCAUCGCACAAACGCACCCGGCAGACCCAUGAAUAUUGAUACGGCUCGGGAGGGAGAGACAUGGAGGCAGGGUGUCUUUACUCACUCUAUAGCAGCAUGAUAAAUUAGAAAAGUGGGGGGUGGUGGUGUUAGGGGGACUUCAGAUCUUAAAAUAUCACCAGAGUGUGCGGAUAUGAGCUAAAGAAGCAGAUCUGAUCAGAGAUUUAUGCUGAACUUCGAAAUGUGUUGAAACAUCGAUGCUGUGUUACACGCUCACAUAAAGUUAGUUACAUCAACUUACAGUGCUGUGGGUCCAACAUAACACUGUCUCAACUCCUACAACAACUCCUACACUGAAAACUUAAGUACAGAAGUUUUGAAAAGGUCUGAUUCAUGAAUUUAUUCAGUUAUUAAUGUCAAACAAAAAAGAUUAAAGUCCCAAAUGUGGACAGUUGUUUAUCUGCAGCCUGCAGUACAAAUAAAAUGUUUUGCAAUUUGGUUUAAAAGUAUGUAUAUAUAUUUUUAAACAUUAAUAUCCCUAAAAGGUCAUAAUAGAUGGCUUGUAAAAGGAUCUUAUUUUCUUACUUGAGUAGCUUAGUGUAAAUGAUUUAUUGAAGGUUGAUCAGUCUCUAAUUCAAACCAAUGUUACUUUUAGCAAUUUUUACUGGUUCUGUCGUAUUCUCAGCCUUAGGACAAAAAUGUUGUGUAGUCUCAGCUUUAUUUCUCUUGGUUUUUGUCACAUUUCAGUUUUGGUCAAUACAAAGUUAUUACAUUUCAGUCAUUUCUUCCUGUUAAAUCGUUUUCUCUGUUUUUUCAAAUUUAUUUUGCCAAUCGGACACUGGUAUCGCAGUUGCACAAAUGUUAAAACCUGCAGCAUUUCCCUCUCUGAACACUCUAGCUUGAAGCAACUCUGGAUUCAUUACCUUAGUUGCAUAAUGAAGCCUGAAGAAUCUCACAUUGCGCAAAGCUGUUGAGCCGUUCUGCUUAAAUAAAGGAAAAUGCAUCGCAUACAGGUAAAAGUGGUAACAUAGAGGAGUGACACUGACUCAGUUAGGGAAAAAAAACUUCGUCUCUGACCACUAAAGCUUUCUUGGACUUCAAAUAAAUGUGUUUGAUGAUUUAGAGUUAGUCAACACUUUGAAAUGUCACACUAAAUAUGUUCCCUUACAUAUCAACACACGAGGAUAAAUCAACACCAGAGCUCAAAAAGUAAUAAAAAAAAAAAACUUUUCAAGUUUAAGAUACAUUAAGGCGGUGUGAGUUGGUACUCAUGGUUCAAGAAAAUGAACACCUCCUCCUUUCAGCCAUUUCAGCCAGAAGACAUUGAAUGUACAAUGACAUCAUUAACAACAGAGAUUUCCAAUAUCUAACGGUCCGCCAAUGACAUUUCAGAUUUGUCUGAAACUACAACAUUUUGGCUUUAUUGGGUCUGACAGCAUAAAAGAGAAGAGAGCGGGGAUCGACGUGCAGUAAAUGGUCACAGCAAGGAGUUGUAGCAAGGAGAACUAGCCUCUUUUUUAAGGGCCGUGUGCUAGGUCAAUGGGUCCAUCAACAUUUUUUCAUAAAUCCCAUUUAAACGCAGAGCCUGGCCCACUUGAGGGAAAAAAUGUACCUGUACCAUUUUGACGCCCAAAAGAAGUUUGAAUUUCAUCUUCAAAUGCUUGAAUUUUAAGUGAUUACUCUACGUUCAACACACAAAAAUAAAAAUACAAAUCACAGAAGUGCUAGGCAAAAUAACCAAUCCAAUGCUGGUUGUUACCCAUAACUGAUACAAGACUUUUAUCAUACCAUAAAGAAAUUGCUUGAAGAUGAUAUUAAAAUCCUCUUUUUGCCCUUAAAUCCAUUUUCUGUCUUUUAACGGAAUAAUGAUUUAGAGAAGAGGAAAAAAAUCCAUAUUUUCAUGGGCAACUUUUACAAACACGUUUCAGCAGUCACUCCUCCAGUCAGUAAUGAUUCUGUGCCGACAGAACAAACCUAGUUCAACGUUUGUUUUCUUCACUGAAACACAAUCCUCAGUGUCUUAGAUCACCGCAGGGUGCGUCCUCCAAGAAAAAUACCCUGUGUCUCUUUCCUUUUGGUGGUUUCAUUGAAAAGUUUACCGCCUGAACGUCAUCAGUCUGUUCUCACGCUGGUUGAUGGGGACAUGACGUUAGAAUUAAUUCCUUGUCUUGCAUUAUCCAUCUAAACAUCAGCGCCCUUUGGCUAAGUUUGUGAAAAACAGCUAAAUAAGCCAAAAGUGACAUUCAGGAUUUCACCAUCCAGGAGAUCCAACUGAAGGGAGAGAACACAAUGAAAUGUUUCUCUUGGUGGUAUGUCAUCUCAGACCAUUCCUGCUGUCAACAGGCAGGCAAAUAGACGGUAGAAGGAGCAGGAGCACAUCGGCAGGCAGGCAGGGAGAGGGAGACGAAUGCUUCAGGAAGGCCGUCUCCAGCGCGUGGGCGACCGUGCCUCUGUCUUGACUUGGGCUCGUAAAUCAAGCCUCCCCUCCGGGGCCUAUCUUCCAUCCUCAGACCUUCACAACAGCUUGUUCUGCAGCCUGUGACGAGAGGGGCUGUUGUCAUAGGAGCUAUCGAUCGUGUGGGAUGAGUUUGUCGGACCGGGGGAUUUCACCCAUCUGAGCGUGGUCACUGAAGUGUCCCAUCUUGUCUCGGUGUCUGUCUGCAGGCUACAUGUUCUGUCGAAUGCCAAGUCCCUACCAGCUGCUGUCAGCUCCGUAUAUCACACAGUUUCUUCCCACAAAAGGAGGGAAAAGAACAGGGUUUCCAAAAAGUGUUGAUAAAACUUAAAGAAGUGAUGCCGCUGUUUGGAUGCUAAAAUAUUUAUGUUUUUUUUCUCUGGAUCUUUGCAAAUUUGAUGAUUUGUGCCUUUUUAGAAGUGCGACUAUAUUGGCAGCUCAUACCGGGUGUUUCCUUUCAUCCAGUGCAUGCUGGGAUUGGUUCCAGACCCAGUUGGCGCCAAACUGAGAUAAAAUGCAUGAAAUGUUGAACAUUUAAAGGAACAGUUUGGAGAAAAUUCCAGAGGAGAAGAUGGAUGCCACAGCCUUUUCUAAAGAAGCUGCUGCCAGGAGCUGGUUAGCAAAAUUCAGGCAUACAUUUAAACGUACAUGUAAUCGGGAGGGCUUAUAUGUUAACAUCUUAAAUGUUUCAUAAUCAAAAGAAAACCAAUUUUUUAACUGGAGGGCAAUAUGCUGGACUUCAUGUUUGGCAUGACUUUAGCGGGUUGUAAGGGCUGAUGAUGAACAAUCACUAGUUCAGCGUUGUUCACACUUCAUCUGCUUGUUAGCGAGAGUUGAAGAAUCUCGACUCCAGCGAAUUACUCACUCCACCAUAGCCAAUCAGCAUGGAGAUCCUUUGGUGUCCAUAAAUAAAUCAUUGGAGAUUCAUUCAUCUGGAAAACAGAGAGCAGACUGAUCAGCUACCUUGAGCUGUCCAGUGCGACUUGUUUUUUCUCAGAAUAUUUCUUCAGUUCUCCUAGAUUUUGAACAAACCAUUGACUCAUUUAUUGGGUUGAUUCUAUUUCCACAGAGCUACAUCACAGUCGGGUUAAGUAGAGUAAUUUUGACAUCUGUUAUUGUGACACAAUAGAAAUAAAUGACUUAGCCCCCCACGCUAUAUCUGUGUCAACAGGUGCAUUAAUGUCAUUUAGUAUUACGCACAAUAGAACGUAUGCAGAUGAGUAAUAGAUUAUGCUCAGGUGCUGGUGAAUGUGUUUGCAGAAAUAGUUCACGCUAUAAUGAAGAUUUUAUACCUUUUAUUGGAGAGUUGAAGGGAGACGUGGGAAGGAGAGGGUGUGGAAGACCUGGAGUAAAUGUUCAUGGUUGGGAGUUAAACCAGUGUCCACUGUAAUGAAGACUACAGUCCCUUAAACUACAGUAACACCCCUGGAAGCAGAUUCAACUAAACUAAACUUGAUCUGUGUUUGGAAAUUAGUUUUACUUUUUUUGGACAUUAUGUAUGUCCAAAGCUCACGCAUGGACAGGCUGAUAAUAUCUUUUAAUGAGCUCCUGGAUGAGGAAAUAAAUUCAAAUCAAAUCAAAUGCAAAUUUAAUUUCAGGAUAGUGGCUCUAAAAACAAAGUUUAACCCUGCACAGUAAUGGAUUUCCAAUAUUAUUCUCCCCAAAGUCAGACUACUUAAAAAACCAAGGCUCUAAAUUAUUCACCAGCGCUCGCUCCACCCUUUAAAAGCCAAUUAGGUGAACACUUCAUGGAAAUCAGGGACAGCAUUUGAUCUCCUGAUGUCAUUUUCAAUUCAAGAGGGGAAUAAAUUACACAAAUUUGACAGCUCCAAAAUUAAAGACCCCAUCCAUCUGACACUCCUGUCAGGUGAAUACUUAACAAGCUAAAACCUGCAAUUAUGUGAAUUUAUUUUUUCAUUUAUUUUUCAUGCCUUUGGGGUGAUUUUAUGCAUGCAUACACAUAUUCUCACCCUUCUUUAAUUUUCAUGUAGUCACAGUGAGAUGCAACGCAGCUUUAAAUGCCGCUUUAUGGUGUGAAAAGAUUUACUUAAAUUAUAAGAGAGAAAAAUUAAGAUUCAGGUUUAAAUAUUCAACCGAAAGUUAAUUUACAUCAAAGUUAAUUUAAAUUACAUCACAGCUGCGAUUCCUGUGAUCACAAAGAGGCAGUAAGAGAGAAAAAAUUAGAACGGAGAUGAAUUACAUUUCUCCACUCUCAGACGUGCAUGCAGAUGGAAAACAUAUUGAAAAUGAUAAUAGCGGUAAUAUUGCGCCACCAUGUCACCAGUGCCUCCACACUCUUUGUCCUCAGGCGGUUUCACAGCGUUUCUUCAUCUUGUUUCCUCACCCCGAAAGCCUGGUUUGUGAAACUCCACAGAAGAGCACUCCCACUCAACCUCCCAGCCUGCUGAGAGCACUUGAAAGCAAUUUUCUUUUAAUCAAGUUCACUAUAAAGGCCCCUCUGAUGCCAACCUCAGCAACACUACCAUUUUGUUUUAUUUUUUUCCAGCUCCGACUCUCUCUACAUUAUAUUGAUUUCUUCAUGAGCGCUAUGAAAUACUGUUUGCAGACAUAAUGAGAAUUUUCUUUCAGUUUAUUGCUCUUGCAGGACGGAUACAGAUAUGAGCACUCUUCAGAGCAGAUCUCACUUUUUGAAUAUCGGCUGUACGUCAAACAUUUUGAAACAUCUGCAUUUACUGCAGGACAAGUAAUGUUUUAAAGCAAUGAGCCCAAAAUGAACAUGGCUUUGUGCAUUUCUCACCCAUUUAUAUUCAGAUCUUUGCUUGGGGAGUAAGAGUGCCGACACAUGAACAAAAUACAGCAAGAGUCCACCAUCCAAAAAUCUAGGCUGCAGAUGUUUACGCAUCAUUUAAGCUUAUAUCAACAUCUUAACAUACAGUUUUUCUAAGAGAGUAAGAAAAUAGUCCAACCACAACCCGGGCCAACUUUUCAAACUGCCUGAUUUGUCUAAAAGUCAGGGCAUCUCUGGUUCGCAUCACAGACCGAUUUGCUCCUUUGUUUAGAAAUGACCUCAGGUUUGGUGUGUGACAUUCACACGCAGCCCUAAAUGUCUGAAGACACCCUCAUAUCAGUCUAUCAUUCUUUUGAUUUAUGAGCCUAGAUACAGAUAAACACAAACGAAAUUGUACAUUUAUUUUUUUUGGAGAUUUAUUUUUUAGCUUUUUGACCUUUCAUUAGAGAGGACAGGACAGAAAGGACAAAGCAAUCUAAGGAAUCGAUUAGGCGUGCUAAGACCCUUUGGUCAGAGGUGCCCCUAUAAUAAAUAAUUUUGACCCUGAAUUGGAUAAAUCUUAAAUAUUAAAGGAUUAACAUGGAAGCACCACAGUAACUUUGAUUCAAAAGUAACCAAAUACUUACAGCAAUUGGCCAAUAAUGAUUGUUUAAGUUUAUUUGAUUUGCUUUCAAUAAAUAGUUUGCUGAUUGUUUGAUAAAAAAAACUUGUAAUACCAAUUUAUGGUCUUUAAUUUUGCACUUAGAAACAACCGUAAAUCUGUUCAGUUUUCUCCCAUUUCUACUGACAAUCAGAACAAACAACAGCUGAAUCUGGUGAGGCGGAAACUUUAUAGUAAUUAUACAUAACCAAACAGUUUAAACCAACGUGACGAUGUGACGACAUCCCAGUAGUAGAGCGUUAUAUCAUUAUUGGACUGGUCAACUGUACAUGCACAUCCACGAUGUAAAUUUCCAAUCUAUUUUACAUAGUUGAAGUUAUAGCUGUUGGAAAAUUGUGAAAAAGUAAAUGUGUACAAUGAUAAAACCCUCAUAAAUGCUGUAGAGUUUAGAAAAGCUCAUUUUUAGAGAUACACAAAUAAAGAACUCAAAGCUGUACUUGUAAAAGCUCUUGAGUCCGUUUAACAGCACCUCUUAAACCCUGCUUUUCUGCAGACAGGUGUUUGGGUUUUUUAUCAGCUCAGUAUGAGCUCACCCCCUGCACUGAUAUCUAUUCCCAUCUCUGUCCUCAGGCUAUGGAGUUUCUGCUGUAUCAUAUUAAUGAAGGACAUAUUUUAUAACCACUUAAUAGUCAGCGACCUUGGUGUGAUGCUCCAAAGUGGAACUGACUGUUGCUCUGCUGCAUUUUUAAUUCAGGGAGUGUUUAAACAAGAUCACCUUGUUUGAUAGUUUGUGACUGCAGACAUGUACUUUAGCCAACAACAAUGCAGUGAGUCAUUAGGAAACAUGACAAAGGCUCAUAAAUGUGCAAUUAAUUUAGACGUUAGAUGAACAGGAUGCAGGUCAAUGACACGCUGUUGAAGUCAUUUUAAUCAGGUAUGAUGCUCGUGCCGUUUUGGCCAGUCAGCAACACGAUCCAUCAUACCUCAGAGCAGAACUAUGCUUAACCUUUUUUACCUUAAACCCACAGAGGUUAACUGUGGUAGUUUGUCCUUAUCUAUAAUGAACAGCUGGUUUAAACACAUUUAAAGCUCUUGUGAGGAGCUUUUUAACAUUGCAGAAAUAGAAUUGCAGAAUUGCUUUUCUGCUAUUUAAGGUUUGCUGUGUAAAUCAAAGAGAGUUUUUCAUUCACAGUCAUGUCACAGAAAGAAAACCUGGAUCUAUAAUCAAAAAAACAUUCAAGGGAGCUUGUGAACUAAAAUGUGCAGAUUAUACACUUUCAGCAAAACUUGUCAAAUUACUCAGUUAUUUUAUUCGUAUAAAAAUUGCUAGUCUAUGAGUCAUUUGACAGAAAUGUACAGUCAAAUUUAGGAACUUCAGGUUUGUGUCGGUUUUGGCACCUUCUGUGGAAAAGCAUUUUGACUAAUCAGUAAAAGUCAGUCUAUUUUAUGAAUGUCAAAUAACUCCUCACAGGAACUUCAAAUCCCUCAUAAUCUUUAACUAUUGAAAACUUGUUUGAGCAUACGUAAAUGAAUAAAUGUCUGCUCAAACUGUAAAGGUUGUCUCCUUGAACUCAUGUAACAGAAAACCAGCCUGAUGAAGAUUUCACCAUCAGGCUGAUCACACGUCAUGGUUAACUCUAGCUCCAAAUGUUUCACUGUUUUAUACCUCAAACUUCUUGCUUUCAGGUCAAGAGGGCGUGUUGCUCUGUGAGGUCUGCUGGCUCCGACUGAACCCCGAAAACCUUCCCGAAGACUGAUCACAGAGGUGAGCCUCACUUUUCUUACUCUCUCCUGUCUAACAUUAACAACAAAGAUCCUUGAAAUGAUGGAUGCCGUGCUCACAGAGGAGAACAGCCAUUAUCGCAAGACAAGUUCCCUCAGUGUGUAUUUUAGUGUUUUAUGACAGCAGUGCUCUGGUCAUAGUUUGAAGAUUUCAACUUACUUGAUCUACAGUUAAAAAAAAAAAAGAAGAGUGAUGUUUAAAAGUUGUAAUCCUCAAAGAUUCCCGUCCUGGUUGAUUUGUAGAGAGUAAAUCUGGUUUAACAUGACAUCAGUUACCAUAAGUGUUGAGCAUCUACUUAAAGCAAAAGAGCAGCUGGUGUGUCUGUUAACAGCACUGCCAGAGAAACUCAUGUGGUUUUGAUAAAGAGGUCAGUCAAUAAAAGCUGUGACCACAAUCUGAUUUCAUGCUGCAUGCUGUGAGUGUGGUUUUUCAACACACCAGCAGGACGCAAAGAAUCUGGUUACCGUGAUGAGGAGUCAGAAAUGAAUCAGCUCGCUGUGGCAGCUCUUUUUUGUUUCAACACUCCUCUAAAUAAAAUAUGACCUGACUUUCAGACAGACAGAAAUGCUGAAAACAACCAUUAGCUACUGAAACUACUGAGAAAAGUCUCACAUUUAGUUAUUUUUGAUCCAUGGAGGUGUCCUAUUCCAAUUGAAUUCACUUAAGACUUAUUACAGGCUUAAGCUCCUCAGUAUGCACCGAACUUUGCUCAGUGAUUGUUAUAACUUGAAUUUAUAAAGGACCUCUCAACCCAAGUACUCUAAACAAAUGAGGUGAAAAGAAAUAAUGAAAAUGGUGGUUGCCAGAUUGGAGAGUUUAUAGUCUGCAGGCCUUGUUGAAUAGGUGGUUUUUCAGCUCAAGGCGGCUAAGUCCCAAUAAUUGAAAACCUGUGGACCAAACAGAAACAUUAAACUGUAGACAGACGGAGUAACAAAACUUACACAGCAUUUUCAGUGGCAUGAACUCCUUGAGAAGUGGAGCUAAAAACUUUAUUAAAGUAUGCAGAAAGCAAGUUACUUCAAUAAAAUGAAAUAGGCACAAUCUUCUAGUCCAAUAUACACAGCUCCAUGUACCGUUGUGAAGUAUAUUUACAAAGAUAUUGUUUCUUAUGACUAAUUCAUAAGAAAAGACAUCGUUUAUUCUGCCAGUUUUGGUAUAUGUCGUUUUGGGUUAAAGGGGGUCUUUUUCAUGCUGCUACGUAAGGGAUAAUGUAAGAUGAGUGCGUGGAUCUUCACAUUACAAUCCUGGAGGGAAUCAAAUUUGGAUAACCACCUGUUCACAAUACAUUAUUUUACAUGUCACCCUGUUAUCUACUAAAGCUUCAAACAAGUAGUUUUCUUUCAAGUCUCCUUGAGAUGAUCAUCCUCAUGUAGAUCCAUAUUUACAUUUCUGUUCCCCUUAUGCUUUCUUCCCUUAGGGGCUUUGCAGUUUGCACACCUUUGAACAUGAAUGUCAAAAAAUAAGCAACUUUCAAUGUUUUAAUGUUGUAAGACAGGGCUUCGUCCCAGUAUAUUUCAGAGAUCCUUAGGGCUCUGUAGCUACUCACACUGCUCUCAGAUCUGGUCAUCAACAGGCAAAAUGUGAAAUUUGCUUUUUUACCAAUCAGAACCGAGUACCCAGCGCAGCAGGUUAUUAAUGAGAAAUAGGACUGUGUGUAGAGUGAAAAACUGAAAACUACCUAUUAAGUGAGCCCUAGGUGUCUACUGUGAGAGCUCCACCUUUUAUAUAAGCAUUCAUCUUGGCAGCUAAUUUAGACUUAGUCUGAGUCAUUGGACUAAAAUGCAUUUUAGAGUUGAUUACAUUUAGUCGUUUGUUUUCUGAUAUAAAAGUCAAAACAUUUUAGUCUAGUUAAGUCAGUAAAAAUUCCAAACACUUAAGUCUAGUUUGAGUCUGUAAAAGUCUAAACAUUUUAGUCUAGAUUUGGUCAACAAAAAGUUAAAACAUUGUUGUCCAAUUUUAGUCUGCAAAAAGUCAAAACAUAUUAAUGUAACUGACAAAUAGUUAAACAUUGCUGUCUAGUUUGGUCACAGAGUCAAAAUAUCGAAAAAAAUCGAAAAAUCGAAACAUUGUAGUCUACUUAAGCUGGUAAAAACGCAUCAGUCCAGAUUAGGCCAACAAAAAAAAUCAAAACAAGUUAGUUCUGUAUAGUCUAUAGUCAUAGUUUGUACUUAUAGUCCAAACCUUUUCUGUCUUUUGGUCUCUAAGUUUUCUUAAACUUGGAGAAAAUGAAGUUUGGACACAGAGCUGUGGUUAUAUGGUUAUAACGAACAUUUAUCGCCAUUAUUUUCAAAAUUUAAAAUGCUCUGUAUAUGAGGAGUACAAUUAAACCACCAAGCUUAACUGUUAGUCCAUAAAUUAGUCCAUAAAUUAGUUUGAUUUUAACUCAACUAUGACACAAAGAUGAGACAGUGAGUAUUGAAACAGUUUGACUAUCUUUAUUGGUAACACUGGAUUUGCAUUUUGGACUGUAUAUCAGAUGAACAUGGGUGAUAUGAGACAAUAAGACAUUUCUGACUGAACUUUUAAGAAUGGACAGUGGUUAAAAUAGAGAAAAUGACAUCAACAGGUUUUGAGUUUCAUGAUCAGCACUGUUAAAUUUCUAUCUAAUGGUUUUCUGAACUGUUUUAGGGAAAUCUCAUGACAUAUGAAUUCCCUGGCAAAAGUACAUCGACCAAGUUUCAAAGGUCAAGACAGAGAGAUUGGCAAUCAAUACUCCAGAAGUAAAAUCCUCAUAUAAGACUUAGCUUGGACUUUUUCUAUGAAUUUUAAAGUGGUACACAUGCUUCGCUUUCAUUCCCCUGCUGCUGCAUUGAUCCCCAGGAGGAAAAAAAAAACUUGAGUGCACUGCGCACACAGGAUUGAAAGCAGAGACAGCAAAGUGACUUCUGUCUGCCGAGGCUUCACAGACUGCAGCUAUAAUGAGCAUUUCAACAGGGCUACAUGUGGUCUUAACAAGCAAAGUACAAAAUGCAACUUAAACAAAAAGCAUGAACAAAAUGAUGACAUGGCUUUAACACGAACCGCAGAGAAAACUUGACAUGUUGAAUUCGGAAAAGAGAGGGUCAAAACUGCCUGCACCAUUGCUGAACAGUAUAUAAUCUUUUAAUCAGGAGGUAAAAGGAGCUUAAACGGCACUUUUGUCACAUAUAUCAUAAGCAGAAAUGACUCCCCACUGGCAGCCUAAAAGGUUUUAAUGAAUUUCAAAUCUUACCCCUUCAAAUUGGUUGGAGAAAAUGGAACUCAACCAAUAAAAAUGAGAGAUGAAUAUAGUCCUAAAAUGACUUUAUACUUGAUAAUAAAGUGCAAACACUCUUUCGUCUAGACUUCAGGAAGAUUUAAGUAACAUAAAAAAAGCUUUCUCCUCUUUAAGAUUUUUCCAUUUUCUUUGGCUCACUUUAUUCUGGGGUAAAAUCUGCAGAGCUGCAAAAAUAAGCUCUGCACACUGGCUUUGUUACCUGCUCUAUCUGCCUGCAUCUACCUGCGGUAAUGAUGAUAUCCAAAGCUUCAAGUUGUGCAGAAUAAUGCAGAGCUGUGCAAAGUUCACCUUCCAAUCCGUGUUAAUGAGAUGACUCCUGGGUCCACGUGUAGCAGUUUAAUUUACACAAACCUGCAAACCUGCUGCGUGGAGCCGAUAAAUGCAAUCACAGUGUGCAUUCAGGCAGCAUAUCUAUCUGCAGAGGCUCGGUGUAAAGGUCUAUGAGUGUCCAGCAGUGCACAGAGCCACAGCCCCGAGGUAGUUACACAGAGAAAGGAUGAUGUAAGUGGAAGAGAGUAUUUGCAUUACAUGGUAUCACCUUAAAUUCUGCGUUUUGUCACCGUUUUAAUGAUGGCACCCUCACUUAGCUCGGGUUGCCUCGUAUCAGCGCUGACCCUCGUGGGCUGAGUUCUGGGGACACCUUCCAAUCUGUGUUAAUGAGAUGACUCCUCUCUGUCUACGGGUCACGGUGAUAUUUACAGAAAGCGUUGUAGCGGCAGAGAUCCACGCCUCCCCGUGGCGCUCCCUCUCCUCAUUUGCAUAGCUUUCAGACUUCCUUUCUCUCGCUCUCCCUCUUCCAGCGCUCUUGCUGCGCUCCUCCAUGAUCGACAGGCUCCUUCGCACUUCUCUUCAGUUUGUGUCGCACAUGUUAAUUAAAGCCUCUAAUUAGCUUUCCCCACUAAAAGGCCGCAUUAAAUCAGAGUUGGAAUGGCAAAUGAUUCCUGGCAUUAGCAUAAUUGUGUUUUUGAAGUGUAAAGAUUCGGGCAUUAAGGAUGCUAGCACGCGUUUUUGUUUCAGUGAUUUGUUGUGUUUGGGGCUCGAUGCCCAGGGGGCUACUGGAGGUUGGCUGUUCGGGUUUGAGGUGCCCCGGGACCCUACAGGGGCCACACACUAAUGAGGCCUGCUCCUCUCUGAUGGAGCAGAUACAGGAAAAACAAACCUGUGAUGUGGUACCCUCAGGUGGUCCUAAGAGCCAAGCAGAGCGGAACAGGACACUGCUGGAAUGUGUGUGUGUGUGUGUGUGUGUGUGUGUGUGUGUGUGUGUGUGUGUGUGUGUGUGUGUGUGUGUGUGUGUGUGUGUGUGUGUGUGUGUGUGUGUGUGUGUGUGUGUGUGUGUGUGUGUGUCUGUGUGUGUGGAGAGUGAGAUGAGGCAGACAAAAAAGAGAUAAAGUCAUUACUACUUUAAUUAUCAUUAUCAGUGAUUGGUGUUUCACCCUGUGUGGAAAACACUUCAUGGGUGGAAAAGUCAACAAUCUAGCUCCUUAUUUUACGGUAUUUACGAGGAAAUAAAUCACGCUAUUUGUUCAGCUUCAAAACAGGCAAAAAUUGUUGACUGUAUAUUUCCUCAUGGUUAAAUAUUGAUAUCUUAUUUUUUUUAUCAGUGGUGUAUUUGGCUGUCAGGGCACAACAAUUGGAUAUCCAGUGAAAGGACCAGUCUGAUUCAGUUUAUCAAAAACGUUGAAUCACUGAGCCAGUGAUGUAUUUUUACCCAUGUGUAAAAAAAAAAAAAGAAAAAUAGUCCAUAAAAAAUGGUCAAUUUUGGUAAAGUAAGGAAAGAAAACAGGAAAAUAAGGAAUCUCUGAUUAAAUGGAUUUAAAUAAGUCCAGAUAAGACUUGGAUAAAGAGGAGGAGAACUUCUUUCUAUUAUAUCCAGAUUGUUUCUAUGUACAGUUAAGUUAAGGUACAGCUUAAUUGGACUGUCUGAGUUUACAAGCACUAGGUGAGAGUUGGUUUUUUGGCAAAAAUAUGCUUUAAGGGCUAUAGUCCCCCAGUUUGUCUGGAGACCAGUGGACCUUCCCUUGGUUGACCAGUUAUACCACAUACAAAAAUAAGUGACAAACAGUUUAGUCUGAGGUUAACUGGUCGUAUGUUGGAAACACAGACACCUUCAUGGUUCUGUGUCUUUUGUAUGCAAAAAACCCAACAUGCAAACUGUGAAGCAUGUACAGACAACAGAAAACCAAUCCCCAUCAGUAUCUCCACCAGAUUAGCACAUUAACAUGUACCUUAAAAGUCCAGUUGUAGUUGAUUAUUUAUUGAACUUUGUAGGCCAGUUUGCAGGUGGAGUUUCAAAUAUUUUUGGCUUCACUGUUGGGGAGCUGUCAUGUUGCCUAUCAUGUUAUACUCCUGUUAUUGAUACAAACUGUAGCACUACUGUAGAGGGUUUUAAAAGUAUGCGUUUAACUGCACUGGCAAAGUAUUAUUGUGCCAUAUUUGCAGCUUUGGUCAGAGCACCACUCACUGUUCAAACCCACAGAGAUUUUCUGUGUAUCUUCUUAAAAUUCUAGUUCCUAAAACCAUGUUUGGUUCCAUCAACUCCUUUGAGACCUCUCCUUGAAAAAAGUGGUUAUUUUAGAAUCCAUUUUCUCGUCAGCGUUUGAGUCCGCACAGGGACACUCAUGCCUGGUUCAUGUCUUCUCUUACACCUGGAUUUAAUAGCGGUUGGUAUAGCGCACAUCCUCCACUAUCAAACAUGACUGAAGCUGCUGGUAUCCAACCAAUAGCGCCGCAGGGUAGUGGUACUUUUCAAGAGCUUCCUCUGGGCAAAAACUUCCUCACUGACUUGUGUGGCUAAAUUAUUCAGGGUGAGCUCGUCAGCCCAAAGGCACAGCAGUGGAACAGUGACAGUUUGGGGGUUGUGUGAUAGCUGCGAGUCUUGUCAUAUGAGUUAUUAUAGAACCAAGAAGAUAUACCACAAUGUUGCAGAUUCCUCGCUCCAGCCUUGAAUCUGCUCCAGGCAUGAAAACCCAUUAAGAUGCAGUGGAAAGAGGAGGCAGGGAGAGAGUUGAGGAAAUGAUGUAAAGAGGAGGGAGAGUCUGCAGACAGAAUUAUCAGCACUUCUGCACGAGGCUACUUUUAAUUUGAGGAAUUCUAAUUAAAUGGUUUUUGUGUCAGCAGUCAAAUCACUUCUGUUUCUUUAAAAGACUACGGCUGAUUACAUAAGGACAUGCUGCCAUGUUCCUACGAUGACAGAUUUAAUUAUGUGGAAUGAUUUUUUUUUUAACCACACAAAAGUGCAGCGAGCGGUAAUGUGUGUUUUAACAUAUGAGAGGGAGAGAGAGAUGGAGGAAGAAAAACACAAAAGAACUAGAGAAAGAAAGAGAAGAGUGGGAGAAAUAUGGAGACUGCAAGCAGCGCCAGACGCUGUGUGGAAGCCUAACAUUCAUUAUGUCUGUUUCAAUGUUGCUGGUAGUCAGAACGCAGUUGGAGAUCUCAGCCAGUCAGCAGAGAAUCCAAGGGCACUGCCAGAGGCUUGAUUUACACAACAAAAACACAUUUCACCGUAUGUGACCUGGACGAGACUUUUUCUCACUGUUUGUCAAAGUUUUGCCAAGUUUCUCAGCUCCUGCAGCCAAAAGAGAAAUGUUUUUCUGCAGUGCGAGCUGCGAUUGUUGGCCGCUGAACUCUUGUGUUUUCCGCUCGAUGCAUCUGGGCUGAUUAAUGAUCUUGCUCGUGAUGUCAACAAGUGUACGGAUAAGAGCUGGAGAUGAAGCUGGGUCUGAAGUUAACUUUUAAAAAUAAGUGCUUCUGUUUAGUGUUGUACAAAACAGGAAAUUUCUGCAAGUUUAACCAAGCAGUUGCUAUUUUUAAACACGAGUAAUAUACCACUGUGGUAUAAAGACUUGACCACAUUUGGUUGGCAGAGCACAUGCCAUGUUACUACUACAAAUGCUUAUUGAACUGUUUCCCCCCUCUUGGACGCUUUUGUAAAAUGAAUUUUAAACGUACCCCUCUAGCCUUGACAGUUAUGCGUUAUACACUUAAAGAUUAAUGAUGUGGAGGAAAGAAUAUUCAAAAUUUUGCUUUAUGACCCAUCAUGCUCUAAUAGAUUUUAGCUUUUAAGCCUGUUUUCACAGCUGUUAGUGCAGGUUCAUACAAAAUUAAAUUUACCAGCAGACUCAAAAUAAUGUUGUUUUUUUUCUUUUUUAAAGCAAAGUAGCUUUGUGAGGUUUUGCAUAAUUUUUCACUAAAGCUUUCUGAGCUAUAUUAAUGAUCAGCUUUUGAAGUCCUGAUAUCAUUAUCAGGACAAAGGUACACUGUAAAAAAAAAUAAAAACAUUGAGGAACAGCAGCAGUUUGAUAAUAUUAAACUACAGUUAAUUAAUGUCUCAGCCAAAAACUCUAACACUGUAAUUGAAAAAACUGAAAAAUACUGUAAAAUAAUUACCAGUAAAUGCUGCAAAAUUACAGAUGGGUACUAUCAAUUAUAUAAUCCCAGUAAAAAUGUAUGGUGGUAUUACUAUUUAAAUAAGGUUAUUUGUUGUCAAAUUUUACAGCAUUUUAAACUGACAAAGUUAAUCUUUAACUUGGACCGUUAAUUUUGCGGCGCUCAUUUCUCUUUCCUGUUAGAGCAAAAAGGUUGUAUCGUAUUCAUUUCUUGUACAGUUCUGGCAACCCAACUGACAGUUAUAUGUUACAGUGUAUGCCAAUAUUAGUAGUGAUCUGUUCAGUUACUGGUAUUAAAUUUAUAACCAUAAAUCUGUAAUGAAAGAAAGUUUAAAAAAAAAAAAGAAAAUGUCAAUAUUUAAUCACAAUUGUGCCUCAAAAUGUGUGUGAUAUGUGAUGAAGCUCAUCAUUGUAACUCUGUUGAUCAGUAUUAACACAUAUUUCAUAGAGUUCAGACGGAGCAGUAUGAUAGGUAAUGGUAAACUAACUGUGCCUGUAACCUCUACUUCAACCUGCUUUGUUAUUUGGGAAGUAUCUCUCAUCUUUGCAACAGAGCUCAAACUGAUUAUUUUCACUGUUUAUCUCAAAGUCAGUGUUGUUAAUGAAUUUCAUCAUCCUGUUUUUUUUUUAAAGCACGGUUAUGAAAAAAGUGAAGAAGAAAAAAUGCAGAAAAAGUGUUCACAGCCUGGUCAAGUUGCGAAGUAUCAUAACAUACUUUGUGCGGGGAAAUGGCCACUUGCAAUCAAAUAGCAUUACUUAACCUGCAGUGGUUGAUGGCGGCAGCUGCAUCUGAGGUCAUGUGUAAAUAUGUCACCAUCUUCUGGGUAAAAACGAGUAAAACAAUAAAAUAACUGUGUAUUUUAAACAAGUAUCUAAGUUGCACCAGGAUGUAGGAGCUCACUUUUUGGAUGAUAAAAGGUGAGUCUUCUACUCUGAUUUUCAUGUCAUUACCACCUUGUAAUACCUGCACGACUCACUUGCAGUGAACUCAUAUCCUGCCAUACCUCCCUGUCUGACAGGACCAGCAGUGGUUAAAACAUGAGUGCUACGCAGUUGCAGGUCUGUGUUUCAACACGAGAUCAUUAGACUUUAAAUGAACCAUGCUGUGCUUACAGGUGUGGGUUUAUUAGCCGUUUCACAGCAGCUUGGGAAGUGACUCAGCUGGACCAGAACUGAGGACAGAAGCAAUCUGUUCAGCCACCAGAGUGAAAAAUAGGAUCACCUUUCAUCAUGCAUUUCAGAUUUUGCUCUCUUUACAUGGUAUUGUGAAAGUUUUAAUCUAUAAACUCAUUACUUGAAGUUCAGCGUGUGGGUCGUUUCUGUUAAUUAAUCACCAUUUUCUCAAUCACAGACCACUGACCUUUAAAGGUGUGCUCAUUUGUUAUAUACCUCUAAUUCUGUAACUAGUAAAAGUGAAAGUACUGAUUCAUACAUCUGUUAAAGAUAAAAAAUAGCCUGUUUAUUUAGAAUUAAAGUGCGCGUGUUCACCUUUAAGCGCUAAUCCUCAAAGGAAACAAGCCAAUGACAAGAUGACAGGAGCAAGAAUAAACUGAUAUUUUCAUUUUAAAACCCUCAUGCCUCGGUUUAAAUUGGGAGGGGGAGAAUAUCUCGACACAAAUAUGACAGGUAAACACACACACACAUAGUAACACACAUACAUCCUCUGCGGCUCUGAUUGAGUGUAAGUGUCUGCGUUGGCGGUCAAGGUCAGCUGAUAAUGGGAGAGAUUGAGGACGGGGUGAGGCGGCAGGGGGGUCGGCAGCAGUCUCAGGUAAUGAGAUUUACGACCCUGAGCUCUCACCGCACCCCCCCCUCCAAGUCCCUCCACCCUUUGGCUAACAUGAUUUAUAGAUCUAAUAGACGUCACCGCUCCCGCCUUAGAUAGAGGCUUCACAUUAUCACUGAGGAAAAGUCAUCUGCUCAACAGGGCAAGAAGGCAGAGACGGAGACGUCACGAUGUAAGAGCGCUCAUAUUUGACUCAUAGCGAAAACACGUCUCUGAAUGCAUGUAUGUGUGUAAGCUCACAAUAUAGUUACUAAUCAAACAAAUUCACCCAAACUUUUAUACUUUAAAGGGGAACCAACAAAUAAGACUUAUAUAAAGUAACUCUUUUGAAACUGAUCUCAAAAGCUGCAAUGUAACCAGUCAUUUACCGCCAUUAUUAUGGGACUAAACUCAUAACUCCCUGCUCUAUGCUCUAUGUCAUGCUGUUAUACUAACUACUUAAUGACUCCUUGCAGUGGCACUAAUGUCAUAAAAGAGGAUAACAUGAACAGAGGUUAAUUGGUCGAAGAAGAGGAAGCUGACAGCUGCAUAUUAUCAAAGAAAUGCCACAGCUCUUUCAAAAUCUGAAAAAGAGAAAAUGUAAACCCUGUCUUCAUCCUGAGAUGAGAGGAAAGGUGAAGGAUGCUCUCAAGUCCGUGGAGUUCCACUUGUAUUCACAUCAAGAGGGAAAUGCAUUCUGAUAUGCUGCAGACUGGUCUGAUGCAGGAGAUUUACAGCAAAUCUCAGAUGUCAGAAGUUUCACUGUAGGUUCUCAAGGAAGUUAUUUAACUUAUUUUACAUUUGGUAUGUUGUUGGAUGAAUUUAAGUUACAGACUAAAAACAUGUGCAUUGUUUCAUCUCAUUAAAAGACUAAAUUCCUUAUUUAGUCAAGUAUUGUGACACAUAUUGUCAUAUUUAUAUCUAGAUAUAAAUAUCAUGGGCCUUGUAUCAUGUCCUGAGUCAUCUGGCAAGUCUCACCCCUAACUGCUAAAUUAAAGCUCCUGUGAGGAACUUUUUGUUUGUGUCAACUUUGGCGCCCCUCGUGGACAAAGCAGUCUUUUCUUACCUUGUCCUCUACAUGUUGGAGUGGUGACUUUUGACAAAAUCUCUCAUCCGGCUGACAUUAAACAGCCAAAUCCAUUAUUUUUUUCUUCAAGCAGAAUUGUAGAAACAUCUGUUUCCCCAACUGCUCAGCUGACACAUACCCUUCACACCAGUUUCAGGCAUUGAAAUUAAAGUAUACAAAUUUCUAAUCUUGUCCCUGAUGGUCUUGUUAGUUUUUAGAUAUCACAAACAGACAUCAGUAUGAGAUCCAGUCUAUUCCAUAUAUUCUAAAAAGUCCUCAAAGGAGCUUUAAGUUCAAACAGCAUCAUAACAAACCUCAAAAAAAGCUCCCAAAAUCUCCAGUCAUAAAAAGUACCUGACUUUUGUUUCAGAAACAGGAGCUAUAGUCUCACAAAUGUGUUCCUGAUGAUUGUUUUAAAUCCCAAAGCAAGUAAUUAGUGUUUAAAUCCUUUUAAAUUAAGAUUUUUAGUCAUUCAGUAGACCCACAAUUCAAGUUUAUUGUCAAUUAAUGUCCUAUCAAACAUCUCCACAUGUUUUGAUAUCACAAUCUAAAGUAAAUAUUGGACACGGUCCUUCUUAAUUAAACCCUUUGUUUGCAGAAUGGGAGGAAAUCUGCAGAUAUUGCUGUCCAAUUUAAAAAUGUAACUACAAACAGAUUGCAGGAAUUUAGAAACCAACAUAAAAGGCGAUUAGCUGCCACACAAGUAAUGGGAUUACUCCAACAUGCCACCGUCCGUGCUGUUCUGCUCAUAGCGCUAACACUCCAAACAAAAUGACAUUCAACACACAAACCAUGCUAUUGUUCCAGCACGCUGCACAAGCCGACUGAGGCACAGCGGCUGUAGGGAUGGAAGCUGCUGAACUUACUGCUCAUUACUGAAACAACCUCUCCUAGAGCUGCCGAACAACAGAGGCAACAUCCAGUGUCUGUUCAGCUCUGUUAACUUAUGCCUCUGCAAAAAAAAAGAAAAAGAAGACAAAAAAAAAAUAGAUAAAAAGCACAACAAUAUGGUGACAGCCAGAUUGCUUCCCAAUAGAUGCCGAGCUAAUAUUUGCACUAGCUCUGCUGUGCGUGUUGGAAAAGAUGGUAGAUUGGAUUUCGAGCAGAAGCUUACACUCACAAACACCCCCCGUCAGUUGUUUGUUCUCAUGCAGCCUGCCAUCUCAGUGUAUUUUGAGAAUUAAACCAAUAAGCCCCCCUGCUAAGCCCAGCCUAGCAGUUAUUGAUGUGCUGCCUUUUAUUGUCUGGAGUUCAUUCUGUUCAUAUUCACUGUGGCUGCCUUUGUGCCAGCUAACAGUAACUUAAAACACACUGACGCUGUCCGCCUCACAGACGACACACACCAGCUCAGGAAUUUGAGGCACAAUAUGUCAUAAAAAUCUCAUUAAUACUCUCAGAGCCCUUAAUCACACAUCAUCUGAACAUUGUGUCAGGAGUUUGCACAUUAAUUUUCAUUUUAAUGGUGAUUUUCCUCUUUAAAGAAGGGCCAAAUUUAAAACGUCCUUCAAGAGAGACGGCGACAUGGACUUGCAUCUCAUCAUCUAUUUGCUGAAAUGUUCAAAGUCAUAUCAGUCUCACAAGCCCUGUGACAGGAAAUUCUAUUGAAACAAAUUCUCACCAUCUUCUCAAGCAAAAACUCCAAACUAACAAGGAAAACUUCUUUUGGGGAUUGGUAGAGUAUCUCACGUUUAUCUGUAUCACUUAUCUGUCAUCUCCUUUGACAUGAUUUGAUUCACAGUAGCCAUACUCUGCAAGAAAAAAAUUCCUAAUAAAAAAAAUCUUUAAUACUUUUAUUUGACAUUUUAACCGUCUUGCAUUUAGUUUUAUUUAUUGUCUAUAUUGUAAGACCAUGCUUUUAUUUAUUUUUUAAAAUUGAUACUACUUCUACACAUCUUAAGUUAUGAAGUUGAAUAGAAAGAGCUAAAAGGAAGGUUCAAAAGUAUAAUUAUUCAAUGUAACAGUACCCCGCAGAGUUGUCACAGCAAAUAUUGAACAUCAUUCAACGGUGUCUGAUCUUCUUUCAGAGGGCUGCUACCCCUAGCUCGCUGGCUGACUCUGCUGCUUCUUCUCUGUAGAAGACACUUAUAGUAACCAGCAUAAAGAGCCAUCACUGCACCCAACACUAUGAACCAGCUAAUUACACUAUAAUAGCAUAUGCUAAUGAAUACCAAAAUAUCAAUACUUCACUCUGUUUUAGAGUAGUUAGCACUAUAUACUAUCCUUUACAUCUUCAUGUAAUCAUACUGUUGUUCACCAUCAAAAUUACAUUUUUAUUUGCAGUUUUGUGCGACAGAAGUACUUUAAAAUCAAACAAUAUUAUAGGUGUUCUGCUGUCUUAAAAGCUAGAGUUACAUACCAUGUAAAUAGUUAGUCAAACUGAACAUUUGGUGCAACACCUUUAGAGUGCACUUUCUUUAAAGUGCAGGCAUUUCUAGGAUACUGAAUAACUGCUUCCUUUCUCUCAAAAACUCUCUUCUCUUCACCACUGUACAUGUUUACAGCAGCAAAAAUGGCCUAAAGUAUUUAAAGUGGGAAGUUUUGUUCAACUUAGAAAACUCUUAAAAUUGAGGUCCAAAAAUAUCUGUAUUUUGUCAUAACCUAUUUUGCAUAAACCAUCUCGUUUAAGGCAUAUUUUACAUAAAUACAUAUGUUAAUGUUUUCUUUUUAUAGACUUUAGUUCAUUAUUUAAAUUCAAACUUUUUCAACAAGAGGUCAGAAAAGAAGUAUACAGCAGCAAUAUGUGCAAAAAUAUGGCCAAUUGGUGGCCAGAACCAUUCAAAUACUAAUCUAAUCUAUCAAACUGCCAGUAGUGAAAUGAUUCUGAGGGCACUCUUAUUUCGGAGAGAAUGAUGCCACCAAAAAGUUCUGCUCCUCUAACUUUGCAUUUACAUACUAGACGCCUCAGUGAGCUGAGUCACCUGAAGCAGCUCCCCCCUGCAUGCCUCUGAAUUCAUUAUGAAUCAUUUCUCCUAUCUCAUUUUAUCUCAUCUCACCCAGUGUCUCAGUGGGUGUAUGUCGGUGCUCGAGCCUACCGGGAAGUUUGUCACUUUGAUAACAGGUGGGAUAAGAAGCGCAGUCAGGCAAAGACGCAAAACUGCAACAAAACGGGAAAGUUUUAUAAGGAAUUAAACACAACACCCCCUCAUUUCUUCAGAGAUUUCAAUGAAAACCUUAUUUGAAACAGGCCCACUCGGAAUGGGGUCGGAUGCUCUUAUUAAUUUUCUUUAUUUGUACGCUCCUCGGCUCUUUUCACCCGAGGUAGCGUUCACCGCUGCGAGGACAAUAAAUAGUGCUGUUCAAGUGCCUCCACAAUUUUCAGCUCAAUAGAGGAAAUGCACAGUUGAUUUCUCUGUGGUGUCUCAGCUGCUUUAUUAGCGCAGAAAGUAAAGGGGCUUUUUAUCCGCCUGUUUAUACCGAGUGUUUGAAAGCAACUGAGUCUCCUGAGCACCAUAUUGUGGAUAAAUGUCUGGAGUUUAGAGAAGUAAUCAUGAAGUCCUGAAGGGGGAUGAAUAAGAAAACGUUAAGGUGAUGCAGAGGACAAUUUCCCUCCUCAAUCCAAGAGGUUAAAUCUUGUGUAAGAGUGACAUUAAUUUAUUUCAUCACCGACCAGAAAUUCAGGCAAACACUCGCUGAAAAAACCGACAGCCAACCGCUUUCAACACCCGCAUUCAUGCAAGUACAGUAGCAGCACUUCAAUGCUACAACAUUAGAGCUUUGUUUCAGCGCAGAGGAGGGUGGUUGUGUUGCCAGAGAGAGCUUAAAAUGGCUGCUGAAAGUCAGAAAACUGGAGCCAAACCAAGCCCAGCAGACGGUGGACAGGCUUGCGGGUUGGAUGGCUGGGUUCGAAGGCAGCAGCUUGUUAGGGUGGAAAUGGAUUAGUGCGAGGCACAAUGGGAGUCUUAGGCGUGUCUGCGGUGUUGUGUUAAAGCCCUGCCUACGUUGCCCGGGCUGCUAGACUCAUUUAUGCCCAGCGGUGCAUGCAGCAGCCAGCUCUCUCUCUCUGUCUCUCUCUCUCUCUCUGUCUCACACACACACACAAACAGGGCUUUUCUAAUUGCUGUGGUCUCUUCUGUGCUCACAGCGACAGCCUUGAUUCGGCAUCCAUCAAAACCACAAAUUAACCUGCGGCACCUCGCUAUUGUUCAGUUUGUCACAUGCAGCUGGUAGUGGAAUUAUUGCUUCAACUCUGUUGCCUUACACAGUGGGAGACACUGAAGAGAUUUUCGAAAUUGGACAGAGAAUUUCUGAACAGUGUGUGGCCUCACUUUAUCUGCAGCUACAAACAAAAAACUCACUUGUAGAUUGAAAAUUUAAGUUAUUUCUUUGGUUUUUAACAUGAUGCAGGCGGCGUGAGAAAUGGCAAACUCUUUGCCACGGAGGAGCCAACACAACCAGCGUAACAUCGUCCUCUUGUCGACAAUUGUUUAAGAUCCAUGAGUUUCCCAGUUUGAUUGUGUAUCUUGGUGCGAGAGGUUCGGACACUGCCAUCUUGUAUUUAGCUACCAGAAGUCAACAUAGCAGGACAUCUCCAUCUUGUGUUAAAGGGUAGUUACCAAACUUGGAUCACUGCUAUGUCACCAUCCUCGUUAAACCCUACAGUGUAGUUUAAGCUUCUGUAUCCUUCGGCCUUCGUCUUGCCUAUGCCAUACUGGCCAACGCUGUCAUGAGCAUUUCAUAAGUCUGCAUUGGGGUGUCGUUCUGCUGUACACCACCUAAAAACUGGUUGGCAGUGCUUAUCAUAACACCCGUCUAGUUUUACCAUGAUCCCCCCUUGUGAUUGGCUGCAGUGAAUCUGAAUUACACUUGAUUCUGCACUGAAUCAAGUGUAAUCUGUUUGAGUUGGUGGUGGUAUAUGUUGUGCAGCUGUUGAUCCCGUUGCAAUUAUUGCAUUGUAGAAAGAGGGGAGGUGGAUAUACUGCCACUUAGGAAGAGGACAGGGAUCAGCGGCACACUACUGGAAAUCUCUGCUGACAGGCAGACCAAUCACAGGUCUCGCAGUCGAUGUCGUUUCAAUAAAUAGUUAGGUUUUUUGCAGCGGUGACAGAGAAAAUAAUGGCAUUUUUUUAUGACUGUUCCAAAAAUUCAGUCCAAAGGUAUUUUUGUUUAUCAUAUACAGUACAAUACAGAGUCGUCCUAUUUUUUGUUGAGAAUGAGAUUUUAGCUCGCUAGCAUACCAAAUUCAGAUAUGCUAACAUGCAGCUCAGUGUGCUAAUGUCCAAAGGUAGGUAAAGUCCUGUGGAAGCUUGCCUUUAAACCACUGUUUUAGCUUUCUCCUUACGCUCCAGAGGCAGCUCAUUUCACACAUUUGCAUUUCAUUCGCACGCACAAUGACAUUGUCAAAGAUGUAUUUGAGGUAUAAAUCAUACACUUGUCAGUGACUGCACUUCAUUUACUCCCCAUCUUUUUAAGGAAAUGUCUGGCAGACAGGGCUCCUUCAAAAGUUUCCUAUAUGAGAAGAAAAAUAACCAGACUAAUACUUUGUUGCUGGAUUUUCUUCAGUGCAAAGCUGCACUUUUGAUGAAUAUCUUUGAGCAACAUGUUACCUGUCAAUGCUGAUGUGCUGUUUGGUGCAUUUAUUGCUCCCUUUGGAAAAAACAACACAGUAUUCAUUAUCCAGUGAAUAUCAAAAUAAGCGAGCAGGAUGGCAUUUUAGAUUUUGCUUUUGUGGUUGCAUUUUAUGCCUAUUAAACAAUAGUCAGUGGAGAGAUGAUGGAGAAUGAGGGGAGGGAAAAAUGAGGAUAAUAUGCCGCAAAGCCCUUGAAAAGAAGUGGAGAGACACAGGUGUAAGUGAUAAUGAAUCACGGCUGGAUUGCACUCCGCUGCUUCAGUUUCAUUGUCAUGUCUUAUUGGGACACUUGAAUGGAGCAGCAGCAUCAUUAAUGUUAUUAGUAACACCUGUGCUUUUCCUGCCACGGCAAAUCAAAAUGUCUGCUGCAAAAACUUCACACCUGCAGGCAAUUUAGAGUCUCCAAAUAACCUCUCCUUUAUAUCUUUGAACUGUGGAAGGAAAACCAGCAGCACCAGGAGGAAAACUCCACACAGAAAGUUCAUCAAAAGGAAAAUCCAAAAGGGAACAGCGGCAUAUAGUGGAAGCAUUGUUUGACUGACAGGUGCUCCCCGGGAAGGGAAGUUUAGAGACACCACAACAAAGACAUAACAGCAAAGGCAAAGGCUGGAUGAUGCUAAGCUAAUGGUCCCCAAAAUAUUCCUCAGUAACAUUUUCUAAUGACAGGAUACAUCUGGUGUCUAUUUUAACUGUCAACAAACCAAAAUUGGAUCUUUCUACAGACUUCUUUCCUGUGCAUCCAAAACGGGAAAUGUUUAACCCCAUAAAAGAUAAAAAAAAAGGUUAGUGUUUCCUGAGAUGGCAUUGGCUGAUGAUACUUCCUAAAAUGUAGGAGACAGUGUGCCUAUCUACUAGUUGAUCACCACAAGAGUACAGCAAAUGAUAUCACUUCAUCCCUAACAUGUAGUGUAAUUUAGUGAAAGCAUCAAAAGCUAUUUUUUGACUCCUUUAGUGUGAUUAAAUUGUAUAACCUAUGUAGGCGCCAUAACCUUGGCAGGUGGCCCAGUUUUAAUGCUGACCAUGCUGCCCUUUGCAUGUGUCAUGCUUACCCCUGCCCUCUCCUCCCACUUUCCUGUCUUAUGGUCUUAUCCUCUUUAUUAAGACCAAAACAGCCCAUAAAAAUAUGGACAUUUAUGUAAGACUAAGGUUGCAAACACACUGACGCAAUUUUUGAGCUGCAGAGCUGAUUCUAACCUGGGAUUUUCACCGCAUCCGCAACGGCUCCAAUCCGGAAUGGCAGCGAUUUUCGCCAUACGGCAAUUCCUACCGGAUCCGUUGGUGAGACAAAUUUCGUGGCGGGUACAGACAGCGGGAAUCGCGAGUACUCACGAGAACCCGCGGAUUCACGUUCACUCACGUGAUAACAAGUUGUCUUUAGCCACAUAGGCUAACCAUAUAAGUAGUAGAUUGUGUCCUUCCAGAGGAGGAAACCCACUUCUCGACUUAUAAAAUCAGCAUCUCCUCAUCCAUGGUGUCAUCGGGAUGAAAUGCUGUCCAUAAAUUUUUCACUUGUUGAAACACAGAGUGUUUUAUUUUGAAAAGAAGCCGGAUGUUUUAUUUUGUGUCUGUGCCCAACCACUUUUCCAGCGCAGGUUAAUCUGUGCUGAAUUUAUCCAGCACGCUCCAGCGUCUGGAAAAAAUAGAACUCUUGCGAUCAGCUGCAGAGUCCGGCGAUCCGCAGCGGUACGGAAAGAAGCCAGUGGAAAUUGACACAUUAACUUGAAUGGUUACGAUCAGCUACGAUCGGUGGAUACGGCCUUUUCGUAUGGGGUUCUGGAUGUGAUGGAAAUUGCUGGUAAGGCUGAGUCAAAUUUUAGCUAAUUUCACCUCUCAGGUGUGUUUUUCCAGCAGUGUUCAGGGGUGUCAUGUCAGGCUCACACCGCCCAAUUAGCCACCCCUGAGCAGCUGGAUGAAUUUCUGAUGUGUUAGAAAGUUUUGCCCGCUAAUAGCCUUCUUUUGCUCAGACAAAGCAGAGCAAAGAAGCAGUUUAGGGUUUCCUUUCCUGAUCAUGCCUGAGCUGAAUGGUUCACAGCAUCUGAAAGCACCACGGCGACGAGCCACAUGGAGUGGAAUACACUUUGAAGCACACUUAUAUCUAGCUAUAACAUUACGACCUCCUGUGCCUUCUAAAGGAAUCUAGUCGACAACAUUGUCUACAUUUUCAUAUUUUGUGAUCUGGUCAGAAAGUUGAUGAUUGUCCUCUGUAUGUAUCGCUGAAGUCUUAUAAUCUGACUACAACUUCCAUCUGUGAAAGUUGAACUUUUCAGAGCAGUUUCCAUUGAAUACACACAGUUAUUUAAGCUUUUCCAGCCACACUUGUACAUCCCUUCUUAAAGAAGUGUGUUUAGUAUGGAAGGCUGGCUUUGCUGUCAUGUAAUGUAUUGUGCAACAGACUUCUUCAUUCAUGGUUAUGGACAUUUUGUACAAUCUGUUGACACUGAAAAAAUUGGAAUAACAUUCGACUUAUCCCUAAAUCUCUUAAUCAGUGGGGCAUAUCUUCUUCUGGAUUAAGACAAACCACCCUGAGGAAACACACAGGGAAAGUCUCCAAAUGGAUUUGCUUGAAAAACUCUCAGACUGGCUCAUUCCCUGUUACUAUUCUUUUUAGAGUUUCUGUGCUAAAAGCAGCCACAGCCAAAUGUGUGUGGUCAUGGCUGGAGUUUUUAUUUUUUCCAAAAGCCGCCUGAGUAAAUGAGGAUUGACAGGCCCCUAAUGCCCUCUGCAGCGAAUAAAUGGAUAAUCGAGAAUCCUGUUGUGAUGCCCCCCGUCCCGUGUCUGAGAUGAGACACACAGCCAUCUGAGCACUGCAGUGACACAGCCACAUAUUGACUGUGUAUGUGUGAGCUUAUGUUUGUGUGUAAGAAUGACAGAAAGAUGAAUUUAUUCUCUGACUUUUCAUACUAUCAGUCACACUAUUUACAUAUUCAAUCCUCACAACAUAAUGCACUGACAGUGAUGUUAUUCUGCUGCUGCCUCCAUGGUGUCACAUUUGCAUUUGUUUUUUUUCUCCUUUUUAUUGCAUUUAAAGACCAGUCGGCCGCACACGUCACGAUGAGUGAAUCCAACUUCACAUUUUGUCACACCCACCUCCCCACCCAUGACAAAAUGUGUUGAUAUGUUGCCAAAAAACUCUGUAGAGCUGCUGGCAAAGGGUAAUUGUUGAUUAUUCAGAUAUUUGACAAGAAUUCAUUAAAUUGCUCCGGACAAAUGCAAAUGUCCAUCAGCCAUGGGUGUAUUUGAACUUCUCAACAUCCCUGAAAAAUAAUACAGGUGUAUGUGCCAGAGCAGAUUUUUGAUUUGGAAAUAUCUUAUUUUUAUAUUCCAAAGAUCUUUUUCAACAAAGUGGAUCGAAAAUGUUUCAAGGCAAACAGAUUCCUUUGCUCAUGUCAUACAUCAUACUUAAACUGGGGGGAUUAUGCUUCUGUAUCUUUAUAUCGACCCUCUGUUAGCUUCUUAGCUUAACAUGAUUUACAGUUUACCAAAUGUUUUACUUAUUUCAGGUUACUGUCUUUGAAAACCCUCAUACCAGCCUCUGUCUGAGAUGCUUCAUUUAAGCCACUGUCCCUUUAAGACCUGUCCAGCAUUCCAGAGCCCAGCACUCUAGUAGCCUCCUUCACUGUUGCUAUGCAAAAAGUUGUGUUUCUUUUUACAAAAUGACCAAAAUGCCCCUUUAAGGAAGUUCAAUUCAGAGCAGCCCGUAGUCUAACCUGGGGAUUACUUCAACAUACAUUAACCUUACAAUCUGAAACUUCUCUUAAUUGAUCUGUAGUUCUGAUUGUUAAAGUUAUGGCUGUCACUUUUCAGUUCUGAUAUGAAGUUAUAAGCAGACUAAACUCUCAGUCUUUUAACUUCAAGUUGCUGGUCUGUCUUUGCAUAAAUGUAAACUCCAGUUUUUGGUGCAAUAAUCAGUCUGUCGACAUUGUUGUAAAAUUGAUGAUAAAGUAAUCACCAACAAAUCUGAUUGCUGAUAAUUGUGGUGUCACAUUAUUCGGGUGUUUUUCAUGCUGCGAGCUUGGAUCACAUUGUUUUCCUAGAGUGGAGCUGCAGGGGAUUGAGCCAUCCUGUAUUCAUACUCUGUGCUCAGAGCGACUGGGGAGAGACAGUUGAAUAAAACAAAGCAAAAUGGCUGCAGCUGGAACACCACAUCCUAAAUUUCUUGAAUCUAGUACGUUUCAUAGACUAAGAGACCUUGGAUGAGGUUUAGAUAUGUGCAGGCAUGUUGGAUGUAUCUCUGCAUUGAAUGGAAACUCAGUUUUGAAACUUUACCCUCAAACUCUCGUUGUAUGAUAAUAGUUAUUAAAAAUUAUUCAUAUUAUGCAUUGAAACAAAUUUAUCCAUAUAACAUUAACUCUCAUUAUCUUUAACACCCAGAAAAAUGCAGCUUGAGUUGGCAUCUGUACGUUUUAAGGUUAAAAGAUUAAAAAUAUUAGAAGAAGAGAUGUUAAAUGUACGAUUUAUGUUAUUGGUCAAUACACCAUUCCAAUAAGUGACACCAUCAGCCUGAGCCUCUGCAAAAGACACGCCAACAGAUGUAGAUAACAAACCUAGGAACAGGAAACAGUUUAGUACGUGAAUGUGUCACAAGAUAGAACAACAGAGUUAUCCAUUAAUUUAUCUUAUUUUGAAAAAGGACGUUUUUUGUGGAGACCAAAGAAAGGUCCCCGGUUUAUUGUCUCAGUUUUGUGAUUGAGAAGGAUACAAAAGUAUAAUGAAAUAAAAGCCAGACGGAGGAGAGAGAGAGACUGCUGGCCGAGUCACGUCCGUCUGCGCUGCACUUAUCAGGUUGGGAUUUUCUGGAAGUGUCAGCCGGUGUACGAAGCCUUCAAGGCUCUCGGGGAAAGGGAAUGCUGCGGUAGUGACAGGGCUAUCUGCCUCUGACAGCCCAAAGACCUAAAACCGGAUGGCUGGUGGAGAUAAGGCUCCGUCGGCACUGGACACACACAAAUAGACAGGACACACAUAUACACACACUCACACUCACUCACACACACACACAGGAUGUUUGUGUGUGUGUGUGAGCAGGCGAGUACGCGACACAUGAGCACACAGCCAAACACUGGCAUUCACUUUGCAUUUACAAAUUCCCUAUUGCCUGACCACUCGCUCAUUCAUUCACUCAUAUGCACUGACACACACACACACACAUGCACACACAGAUGCUGGCUCCCUGUCUUCCAGCCAGCGAGGCUUCCCAUUAGCCGUGGUGCAGUGUGCUGGGUGAGGAGCGCUGGGGCGAGAGACAUCAAUUUGCUUCCUCUAAUGCGCUCGCUGCCCCCACAAGACAUAUUGAUUAUUUCUUCCCCGCAAAGCGACAAAUAGCAAUUUCGGGGGCAUAAUGGAGAUAGAUGGUUGGUUUAUAAGAAGCCCCCAAAGAAAAGUUGUCGGGGGGGGGGGGGUGUGCUGAGAGUGGGUGGGGGUAGGGGGGUAGGCGGGGGAGUUGGGGAUGCUCUUUCUCAUCCUGUUUCUUGCGUUUUGUCUCUUUUCCUUGAGUUAACUUUCCAACAUUUUUAAUAGAAGGUGAACAAGAUGAAUUGAGAUCAAAUUGAACCUUAUCAAUCCUUUUAAAGAUGUCUGGUACAUAAAGCACUACUGUACAAACUAAGAGUGACACCAAAGAAAAACAACAAGUGUGUGAGUGUUUUAAUACAGAUGUAGAGUUUAAUAGCUGAGGUUACAGAGUAAAGCUCCAUUGUAAUUUAAGUAUUUGUUCUCUCUUAUUACCAUUUCAGUCAGUCCAGAUGAACGCACACUCCACAGAUGCUCUGGGUCCAGCUGAGUCCAGCCUUUGCAUCCACAGCUGCACUGAGGUAUGGCUGAUCUGUGUUUAUCAUUGGUAUUCGUAUUGGCUCUCAUUCUGUAGGGUUAUAAAAACUUCAGUUGCACCAGGUAAUUAUUGUAAGGCAGCAUGUGAUCUGUGCACAUUUGAAUUACAAGUAAUAUCCUGCAUGACGUUAAAGUGACAGUAAUAUUGCAUAUGGUGGUAAUUAUAAUAAAGGCUUUUACUGACAAUAGAGGAAUAUAGUUUCGAUCAAACACAUGAUAACAAACAUAACAUGUAUUAAUCCCUUAGAAUGUUCUAUUGCACAAGAUAACAGGCUUAAUAUGUCUCAGGCCGAGUUUAAAAAAGCAACACUGACCAUGAAAAUAAGCGUGACAAAGCUGAUUUAUUCAGAAGUAACACAGCGUAUUUGUUGUUUUUUAAAUAAGAUUGCAAAUAAUGUUAAAAACAUAACAGUGAUGGUUUACUUAAAUGUAAUGUUGCACAUGCAAAUGAUAAUCUAGCCUUUUUUAGGACUACUGCUCGUGAUUCAAAAAGAAAAAUUUACCAUAAUAAAAAAGCAGAAAUGCAUACAAUAUGAAAAGCAAUAUUGCGCUUGAUAUGGAAAAAGUAAUAAGAUAUUUACUGUGCACCGUGGCAUGUACUUCAGUCCAUUUUGUCUCCAGAAAAACAAAAAGCAGUCAUAAAGGCUGUAGUUCAUAGCAGAGGUACAGUGAGAGAUGAGUGUAAAGGUAUCUUUGAGCUUCAGGGUGCACAGAUGUUGAGGUGCGACACCAAAGCACUUUCAUUACCCCCCUCAGGAGUGUAGCCUCCUCCCAUCUUAAUGGUUGCACUGCAGAGAGCAGCUGCCACUGCUGUGUUUGCUCUGCCUCGCCCUCCGUCUGUAACAUACUCAUAUCCCUGUUGUUAGCGUCAGGCUGCUCUCAUGGUGGGAUUGUAUGUGUUUGAUUUUGCAAUCUGACUUUCAAAGUUCAUGCAAAGUUUUGGGAUAAGUUUCUAUUCCAGUGAUGGAUCGCUGGGUUGUUAUAGAUUUAUAGAUUUAGAGGUUGUUAUUUUAUUUUUACUGCCCACAGGUUUUUCUCUCUGCAUCAAUUGUUAAGAUGAAAUCUUGAAAUGAAGACUGUGUUUUUCAUUUUCGCUCUUUUCACUCUUGACAAGAAGGCGGCUGCUUUUAAAUCCUGAGACAGCCAAGACUCAUAAAUUUUGAAAAAGUGGACUUCAGUGUCAUCGUGUAGUCUGUUUGCUUUGAAAAAUCGGCUUUAGAGCUGACUAAAAGUCUAAAUAAAUCCUCCAUUUCAUGUUGUUAACAUCCAUAUGCAUUCAUAUCUGCCUUCAUUUAUCUAACAGAAGUUUUCCUGUCAUGAAUCCACCUGCUAUUCUUCCCCAAACUCU